UCUUUGCAUAAAAUCAUCUUUGCUCACAUCUCUUGUUAUUUCUUUAGAAUCAUUUCCUAGAAGUGACAUUACUGAGUCAUCCUUUUUGAAGUCUUGUUACUUAUUACCAAGUGCCUUUCCGGAAAGCCAGAAGGCAUUCCCAGCGUGUCUGAGGGUGUCUAAGACAAGGUCCUCUUUAAGAGCAGUGCAGUAUGGUCGCUGCAAAUUGUAUGUCUUUGAUUGGAUUUACAUUUCCUUGGUUACUAGUGAGGCUGGACUUAUCUUUCACACAUCUUUUAACUAGUCGGUGUAGACCCGUGAGUAAUCGCCACACAGAGCAACUCGUCAUUCCUGUCCAUACUUCGUUCUUGCUCUCACACUGUUGAUUUUGCCUUUCAGUGCGGACCCAGAUAACUUAGGGGUGCCUCCGUGAGGAAAAUUGUUUCCUAUUCGACAUGUCCAGAAGAACUUUGUUCUCAGUGAGGACUUGUGUCUCCAUUUCGACCCAUCACCUCAGCCCCUGCCACCCUGUCAGCUCCCUCAGAGGUGCCCCACCUCAGAAGAAAGGUCAGAGUUAAGAUUUCCCUUAACUGAAACUCAAUCUGCAAGCUCAGACCAUUCUAGAAACAGUAUAGGAUUUUUCAGGAAGUAACUGAGCUAAAGCCAAAGGGCCCAUGCACCCCGCCUUCUCUUCCCAAGAAGUUUCAAUUCUUUUUGUUCUCAGGGGAGAUGAGAAAGGGAGGGAGGCCAGAAGAAGAAAAGGGGCCUUCUCAGGUGCCCCCUCACUGAGCUUCCUGACGGGAACCUCCCGGGCUCCUGGGUCCCUGAAGAGCCUGCAGUUCUCUGAGUCAGACAGGAAUGCACCAUCACCUCAGACAGGAGGCUGGAUCUUAAGAGGAGCCUAAGAUAAAGGUGUGUGUCUGUCCACCAGCUCUACCAAGUGCUAUGGUGCACACUUCACUUGAGGAAAGCUGCCUGAGGUGGUAUUUUGGAAGACCUGUGAUAACUCUGAAUCAUGAAACUGGAGGAACAGAACAAAUCACAAGUUAAAACAUACCUAACGUCUGCCAGAAAGUACCCGCUGAGAGCAUCAUUAGCCUGAAGUCUGGAUCUAAUGCACUAAGCCCCUCCCUUCCCUCUUAACCCCAAUCUCUUUAAUUGACAUUUAGUUGCCUGCGGUCAGAUCUCUUUCAAUCCCAGUGCCUACAGGCUCCUGAUCUUGGGCGACUGGGACAGCUAGACCUAUCUUUUCUUAGGCCCACUCUUGCUUUAUUUCCCUUUUUUUGGUGUGUGCAUACUGCUUUAAUUGGGCAAUCAGUAUGCCAUUCUCCCAUUAACGUCGGUGGGGAAGUGAGUAAUCAAACUCUCAAUUGUAAACUUCGAUAAGAUAAGGUCAGCAAGACGUGUGGUCCUGAGAUGGCACCCCGCACCCGCAAGGGAAAAUGACUCUCGGUGGCUCUCAUUGUUUUGGGGCUUGUUUGCGUUGCUGUGCACUUGUAAUGGAAAACGAAUAAAAAUAAAAAUCCCGGGGCCCAUUUUGGCGCGCGCUUGGGAAGUUAAUCCCACUGUCCUGGCAGAAUUCCAGCUCAGGUCACUGCAUUCUGCUGGCGGAAGCCGCCUCAUGCGGUUUUCAGUGGAUGUCACUUUCUUCUUUGCAUCCUUCUCGGGGCUCCGUGUGCAGUGCAUUCAACAGCUGGCCCUUCCCCACCUGCAGGAGCUACAGUUCUGCAGAACUCAGAAUCACCCCUGCCUCUUCCCCGGGCAGGAAAUUAACCUGCUCCAAGGACCAGCCACUGAGAUAUUUGCUGCAGUCAAGAUCUAUAUGAAUGUGUCUUUCUCUGAGUGCCUUUAAGCAGCCACAGAAUCAGAUUACUCUCCUUAAAAGAUUUUUCAAGGAAUCACAGUUUCUUACAAGUCUCUAAUGCAUAUAUUCCCUCCAUUUGUUUUGUAACGUUUUGUUAUGCAAACUAAAAAUGUCUCCUUAUCUGAAGUACUUAGAAAUUU